rnacentral:tRNA from 3 species
UAGAAAGUGGUGUAGUGGAAGCACCAAGAGUUUUGAUCUCUUAAGGACGGGUUCGAGUCCCUUUUUUCUAA